GUAUGCGAUCAUACCAGCACUAAAGCACCGGAUCCCAUCAGAACUCCGAAGUUAAGCGUGCUUGGGCGAGAGUAGUACUGGGAUGGGUGACCUCCUGGGAAGUCCUCGUGUUGCAUUCC
rnacentral:rRNA from 1 species